GAUGAACGCUGGCGGCGUGCCUAAUACAUGCAAGUAGAACGCUGAAGGAGGGGCUUGCUCUUCUGGAUGAGUUGCGCACGGGUGAGUAAAGCGUAGGUAACCUGCCUGGUAGCGGGGGAGAACUCUUGGAAACGAUAGCUAAUACCGCAUGACAACAGUUAUUGCAUGAUAACUGUUUAAAAGGGGCAACUGCUCCACUACCAGAUGGACCUGCGUUGGAUUAGCUAGUUGGUGAGGUAACGGCUCACCAAGGCGACGAUACAUAGCCGACCUGAGAGGGGGAUCGGCCACACUGGGACUGAGACACGGCCCAGACUCCUACGGGAGGCAGCAGUAGGGAAUCUUCGGCAAUAGACGGAAGGCUGACCGAGCAACGCCGCGGGAGUGAAGAAGGUUGUCGGAUCGUAAAGCUCUGUUGUAAGAGAAGAACGAGUGUGAGAGUGGAAAGUUCACACUGUGACGGUAUCUUACCAGAAAGGGACGGCUAACUACGUG
rnacentral:rRNA from 1 species